AUUGAACGCUGGCGGCAGGCCUAACACAUGCAAGUCGAGCGAAGCGGCGUACGGGUGAGUAAUACCUAGGAAUCUGCCUGGUAGUGGGGGAUAACGACCGGACACGGGCGCUAAUACCGCAUACUACCCGAUGAGCCUAGGGCGGAUUAGCUAGUUGGUGGGGUAAAGGCCUACCAAGGCGCCGAUCCGUAACUGGUCUGCGUGGAUGAUCAGUCACACUGGAAGUGAGACACGGUCCAGACUCCUACGGGAGGCAGCAGUGGGGAAUAUUGUACAAUGGGCGAAAGCCUGAUCCAGCCAGGCCGCGUGUGUGAAGAAGGUCUUCGGAUUGUAAAGCACUUUAAGUUGGGAGGCGUUACCAACAGAAUAAGCACCGGCUAACUUCGUGCCAGCAGCCGCGGUAAUUC
rnacentral:rRNA from 1 species